CGACCGACCAACAGACGACGAUGAGAGACAAUAUCGGACUGGGAAUCGAACAGAAAUGGGUUUCUGCAGCUUUGUUCCAUCAAAGUCAAUCCUAUUAUUUGGAUUGGUGGUUUUAUUGUUCUCUUAGCUUUUUGUAAACCCUGGUCGCUAAUAUGGACUAUGGCCAAGGUUGGCUCCUAAUUUUUUUUUUAAAAAAAUUAUGAUGUAAAGGAACCUUUGAAUUCUUGACAUGAUAUAGAGGCAAUGUUUUAUGUAUAAUUACUGGUAUUUUUAUUGGUUAAUCAAUCAUUCCUUAUAUUUUAAGGAUGCUUUAUCAUAUGAAUAAUAGCUAUUAAGACGUA